CUGAGAAGCACAAAGGAAUGAUAUAGAGACCUCAUUGCUUUGUGCUUCCCAGUG
rnacentral:pre_miRNA from 1 species